AAUAAAUCUGCACUGUUCAUCGCAUUUGAUCUCAACCGUUUGAUCAAGCAUAAGGAAAAAAAUAGAUUCGAACCGUCCACGCGUGCGAAAUUAAUCCUAGGUCGUCUGAUCGCGAUUCACGCGGAUCGCUAACAUGGCAACCCACAUGGUGCUAACGUCAGCCUGCUUGACCACGCGAUGCACUUUGCUUCUUUGAGGCUGCUGACUGGGCGAUCCUACAUAGCUAAACUUUCUCUAACAGUACUUUGACCUCCUGU
rnacentral:lncRNA from 1 species